rnacentral:tRNA from 1 species
GCUCCAGUGGCGCAAUCGGUCAGCGUGCGGUACUUAUAAUGCCGAGGUUGUGAGUUCGAGCCUCACCUGGAGCA